UACAGAGGUCCCAAGCGUUGUUCGGAUUCAUUGGGCGUAAAGGGUGCGUAGGCGGCGAGGUAAGUCGGAUGUGAAAUCCCGGGGCUCAACCCCGAAACUGCAUUCGAUACUGCUUUGCUUGAGUACUGGAGAGGAGACUGGAAUUUACGGUGUAGCAGUGAAAUGCGUAGAUAUCGUAAGGAAGACCAGUGGCGAAGGCGAGUCUCUGGACAGUUACUGACGCUGAGGCACGAAGGCCAGGGGAGCAAACGGG
rnacentral:rRNA from 1 species